rnacentral:misc_RNA from 1 species
UUUCGUAGGUGAACCUGCGGAAGGAUCAUUAAUAAAUUUUUUUUGAAAUAAAAAAAAAAUAAUAAUCAUCCUACCCUUUGUGAAUUUGUUUUGUUGAAUAAUUUUUUAAAAUUAUUUAUUGUCUAUCCAAGUUGGAAAGUUGUAAAGACUGAAGACUUGGAGCGGCAUAAAUAAAUUUAAAGACUUUUUUCUAAAAUUAAACUUUUGUAUUCAUUUGUCUAAAAUAAUUUUUAUAAUAUAUAAAAACAACUUUUGACAUGGAUCUCUUGGUUCUCGCAACGAUGAAGAACGCAGCAAAAUGCGAUAAGUAAUGUGAAUUGCAGAAUACGUGAAUCAUCGAAUCUUCGAACGCAUAUUGCACUUUUUUAGUUUACUAAAAAGUAUGUCUGUUUGAGUAUCAGUAAAAUAUUCUCAUAAAAUUUUUUAAUUUAUGGUUAUGAGUGUUUUACAACGAUAAACAAGUUGUUUCACUUUAAAUUGAAUUUUUUGAAGAAAUUCUUUAAUUCAAAUUAAAUUUGGAUAAAAUUUUCCCGUAAAAAGGAAUAACUAUACAAGUUUAAUAAGAAUUUAGUGAUUUCUUUUAUGAAAAGGAAAUUUAUUAAAUAACUUGAUCUCAAAUCAGAUAAGAGUACCCGCUGAACUUAAGCAUAUCAAUAAGCGGAGGAAAAGAAACUAACAAGGAUUCCCCUAGUAACGGCGAGUGAAGCGGAAGAGCUCAAAUUUGAAAUCUUAAAGGGUUUCCCUUUACGAAUUGUAGUUUAAAGAAGUGUUUUCUGUUGAGGUUUUGGUAAAAGUUCUUUGGAAUAGGACAUCAUAGAGGGUGAGAAUCCCGUAUUUGACCUUUACUUUCAACUUUGUGAUACACUUUCAAAGAGUCGGAUUGUUUGGGAAUGCAGUCCAAAAUGGGUGGUAAAUUUCAUCUAAAGCUAAAUAUUGGCGAGAGACCGAUAGCGAACAAGUACCGUGAGGGAAAGAUGAAAAGAACUUUGAAAAGAGAGUUAAACAGUACGUGAAAUUGUCAAAAGGGAAGCGUUUGACACCAGUGUUGUUUUUCUGAAAAUCAAUUAAAGAACUGUUUAUGCUAAGUUGUUUAGACUUUAUCAGCUAACUGUUUAGUUUUGAGCUUUUCUUUAAUGCACUUUUCAGUUAACAAGUCAACAUCAAUUUCUUUUGCUGUAAAAAAGCUUGAGGAAGGUGGCUUGAGAUUCGUCUUAAGUGUUUAUAGCCUCUUGCCUAUGCAGUCGGAGAGAUUGAGGUCUGCAGCGUAGAUCCUUCGGGGCUAAAUGCAUUUGUGCUAAGUUAUAGCAUUUUAUAGACAACUUGUUGACUAUGAUUGUCUUGUAGCUUACUCGCUUAUGUUAUUU